rnacentral:lncRNA from 1 species
CCCCGCUCCCGCCCACGUUUCCGCCUCGCUGGACCCCAGAGAGGAAGAGAUGAAGCCCAAGCAGGAAAGAGGCAUGGCGUGAGCCGCCCCCCCCCAUUUCACACACACACGGGGUUACCAAGGACCAGGCAGUAGGUGGAACGGGCACUUACCCGAGUAGAGGAGAAGGGCUGGAAGGUAGGGGUGACCAGAGAUGAGGCGGGGAGAGGGAGAAGGGGAGAGGAGGUCGAGGCGCGGGAGAGGCGGAGCAGACCGGGAAAGACGGAGAGAAGGGAACGGAGAAAGAAGGGGUAAUUGGGUUUAGCCAGAGCCCAGUGGGGCCAAGGGGCAGAAGAGAGGAGGGAUAGAGGGCAGAGCGGCAGAGGAAGUUAGAGAAGGCCGGGGGGAGGCCGGGGACGGUGACCCCAUGGGGAGGAGGGAGAAAGAGACCAAGAAGGGAGGGUAAGAAGGAAGGGAGCCCCUGCACAGUCAGCUGAUCGCCAUACGUUGCCCUGAGGCAGGCAGGGGAGGGGAAGGCAGGAGGCCUCCCGGCCAGGAGAGUAGGGGGGAAUGGAGGCUAAGAGGAGAGAGAAGGAGGACCGGGCCAUGGCUAAGCAGGGUCGGGAGAAAACGUUCAGGAAUAUGAACCAACCCCCUUUGCCUCUUGGGUGCCCCCAACCCUCUGUGAGUCUCUCCCAGAUCCCUCCUCUCCACUCACCAGUCACCCCCAGAUCCCUACUCUCCCCAGUUUCUCCCCAGGGGCAGCUCACCGUCAGCAGCGUCGGGCCGGAAGGUGAUCUGAAUCUCAAACUUCCUGUAGGCAUCCUUGAUGGUGGGCAGGGGCAGGAAGGAGUGUGGGGUCUGGGUGAAGUAGGGAACCACCCGCUCUGCGGGCAGAAGUCACGAGGUGAGGGCUCGGCACGGUGGGGGGCACCGCGUGGCAGGGGGCGGGGGCUUAGGUCCGGGAAGGUCGGGGGGCGAGCGGGAGCCGGGCAGGAGACUCACCUGGCACCUGCAGGUGGGCAAAGGCCUUCACCCUGCCCUGGCGGUUGGUGGCGGUGCAGACGUAGGUGCCCGCGUCCUGGGGCCGCACCGCCGGGAUGGUCAGCAUACUCUCCGGCGUCGGCCUGCUCCACGCGGGCGAUCUUGAUGGUGUUUCCGCUCUGCACGACGCCGGCCCGCAGCUGCCCCCGCACUUUGCUCCAGCUGACCUGGGGCUUGGGAUCGCCCCGGGCCAGGCACUCCAACUCCAGGGAGUGGCCGACCACCACGGUCUGCACGGCUGUGCGGGCGUUGAUGAGGACCGAGGGCAGAGCUGGGGAGCGGGACGGGGCGGGGGGUCAGAGCGGAGAGGGGAGGGCUGGUAAUCAGUGCCCUGGACCACCGGGCCACACUCUCCGCCCAGAGGUUCGGGCCGCCCGUUCCACACCACGGGACUGCCUGGCGUGUCCCCCCGACGCCCGCCUGCCUCUCGGCUCCUUCCCCGGACCAACUCCGAGUCCAGGCCUCUGGACCUUCCUCCCCGCUCCGCUCCACUCACCGUGCACAACCAGCUGGGCGCUGGCCUGUGCCUGGCCCCAGGGCCCGUGUGCCCGGCAAACGUACGUCCCCUGGCAACUCUGGUCUAGGUUGUGGAUCCUGCAGAGGAAACAGGAGUGCUAGAGAGGGGCGGGGCACGGAGAGUGGGGGGGGGGGGGGCAGGGAGCCGAG